GACGAACGCUGGCGGCGUGCUUAACACAUGCAAGUCGAACGGAAAGGCCCUGCUUUUGUGGGGUGCUCGAGUGGCGAACGGGUGAGUAACACGUGAGUAACCUGCCCUUGACUUUGGGAUAACUUCAGGAAACUGGGCCUAUUACCGUUUGGAGGCUCCGCUUGCUGGUUGGGGGUGGGAAGGUUUCGAGGGUUGGGAUUGGAUCGCCGGCUUAUCAGUUGUUGGGUGGGGUGGUGCCUUCCCAGGGCUUGGACGGGAUGCGAGCCAUAGCGGGUGCCCGCCCACACUGGGACGCAGAGACGGCCCAGACUCCUACGGGAGGCAGACGUGGGAAAUAUUGCACAAAGGGCGGAAGCCUGAUGAAGCAACGCCGCGUGCGGGAUGACGGCCUUCGGGUUGUAAACCGCUUUCUCCUGUAACGAAGCGUGAGUGACGGUAAUGGGUAAAGAAGCAACGGCUAACUACGUG
rnacentral:rRNA from 1 species